UGGGGAAUAUUGGACAAUGGGCGAAAGCCUGAUCCAGCCAUGCCGCGUGUGUGAAGAAGGCCUUUUGGUUGUAAAGCACUUUAAGCGAGGAGGAGGCUACUUAGAUUAAUACUCUAGGAUAGUGGACGUUACUCGCAGAAUAAGCACCGGCUAACUCUGUGCCAGCAGCCGCGGUAAUACAGAGGGUGCGAGCGUUAAUCGGAUUUACUGGGCGUAAAGCGUGCGUAGGCGGCUUUUUAAGUCGGAUGUGAAAUCCCUGAGCUUAACUUAGGAAUUGCAUUCGAUACUGGGAAGCUAGAGUAUGGGAGAGGAUGGUAGAAUUCCAGGUGUAGCGGUGAAAUGCGUAGAGAUCUGGAGGAAUACCGAUGGCGAAGGCAGGCAUCUGGCCUAAUACUGACGCUGAGGUACGAAAGCAUGGGGAGCAAACAGG
rnacentral:rRNA from 1 species